UACGUAGGGGGCAAGCGUUGUCCGGAUUUAUUGGGCGUAAAGAGCGUGUAGGCGGCUAGGUAGGUCCGCUGUGAAAACUCGAGGCUCAACCUCGAGACGUCGGCGGAAACCAUCUAGCUAGAGUCCGGAAGAGGAGAGUGGAAUUCCCGGUGUAGCGGUGAAAUGCGCAGAUAUCGGGAGGAACACCCGUGGCGAAGGCGGCUCUCUGGGACGGUACUGACGCUGAGACGCGAAAGCGUGGGGAGCGAACAGGA
rnacentral:rRNA from 1 species